rnacentral:lncRNA from 1 species
GUCAAUAGUGUGCAAUUUCCAUCCUCUUAAAGCAAGAGGCCUCUGGCUCCCAGCCUUGGAGGGCAUUCCUGAUGAUAUGCUUUACAUUAGGGUCAAUGAUGAUGUGGCAAAAGGUUCCAUUUUAAGAAUUCUAUUGAACACUGAUGAUCAUAAAGGGAUCCAGUAUGCUCUCCCCUGCUGUCGAAGUGUCUAAAGAUGAAACCAUCCUUAGAUUACACUCAUCAGGAAGCCUCAAGAGAUGCUCCCAACACUUUGUGCUGGAUGCUUCCUUCUUGAACAUCAAACUCCAAGUCCUUCAGCUUUGGGACUCUUGGACUUUCAACCACAGACCAAAGUUUGUAUGGAUGGCUUACCUACUUUUGAGGUUUUGGGAUUUGAACUUGCUUCCUUCCUCCUCAGCUUGCAGACAGCCUAUUGUGGGACCUCACCUUGUGAUCGUGCUCCUGCCAGUGCCUCCCAUUGCCAAGAUCCAUCCAUAA